rnacentral:lncRNA from 1 species
CCCAGUUUCUCUUCCCUGGUUCGAACACCUCCCAGUUCCUUAUAUGAAUCUGCUUCUGUAUGACCUCGAGGCUCUUAACCAUCUUGUUCACCUAGAUACAUCUUGUUUCCACAUUAGCCUUUAUUGGGCUGGCCCCAUAAACAAAUCUGUCAUUCAGAAAGGUUUACUGGAAACACAGAACUUGGUCUGAUGUGAUUUUCUCUUGUCUGGGUGACUUUGCACAUCCUUGAACUGACUCACCUGGAUGCUGACAAGACUAGUCCCUGGGGGGAGAGAAGGGAGGAAUUUCUAAGGACUUGCAGUUGCCCAGGCAUGACUGUGGUCACUUGGGAAAUCCUCAGGAUUUGGCAGCUUAUUGAGCCUUAUCUGGAAGCAAGUCAAAGUGGAGAGAAGGUGACAACUUUGGAAAGGGGGAACCUGCAUGAAAAGCCCACCUCAUCAUUUUCUCUAAGGCGCAUGCUCAGGAAAAGGUCAAAAAUCCUUUUUACUGUAUGGAAAAAGAAACGCCUUGGAAACCUCUGCUAUCAAGUUUGAUAAGGUUUCAGAAGAUCCAGGAAUUUGAAGCAGGGGAAAACCAGUUAGCAGUGAUGUCUUACAAAUAUGCCUUCCUAAGUUGCAGAAGGGAUAUCCCUUCUGCAGAACCCUAGCCUCCAUUAUUGUGCCAAAUACCUAAAAAUGUUCUGUGUUCUAUAACAUUUUAAAGUGCAUUUCUUACACUAAGUUCCAUGUGCUGACUUUUCUUUUUGGUAGUGAUUCAAUACUGUAUAUAGUUUUACAUAAGAAAAUCUCCCCUUUGAAUAAGUUUUAGAAAUCAUUGUGGGAGUUGGGAUGGUACAGAGUAAAGUCUGGACAGUAAUUUAGAAAUAUAUUAUCUCAAACAUUUAAAAAUCAUUCUAUAAAAUAUAUUCUCUAAAAAAACAGAAAAAGGAACAAAAUUGUCCUUAAAAACAAAUGUUUCUUUUUUAACUCAGUUUCCCCCCAUGCUUUCACAUCUCUUGACAAAAAUUCUCAACUCUUUAACUCCUGAAGCAAUAUAUUGUUGUAUCAUAUAUGAAACUUUUACUCUGAAUAAGCUCUGUGUCUCUAAUCAUUUAUAAAUUGAAUUCAAACAGUUGGUAAUUCCAAAUUGUGAGAAGUCCUCCUUAAUGCCUCCUAUAGGGCAGCAUCAAAUUUCUGUAUGCAACCAGAGAGGUGAGUUUUAUUAGCCAAGUAUUCCGGUUUAAUUUAAAAAGUAAUGCUUCAAAUGGCACUGGAAAUUUUCUUUUCCUGAAUGAAACCUUCUAGGAGCUGCAUAAAAUCAUACCAUGGUCCAAAUGUGGCCCUAAGGAAAAUUGGUCAUUUCAGUUUACAAUUAAAUCUGUAUUAGUCUUUUACUUUUAUAAAAUAGACUACCACAUGUAUGAAAUAUUUUAUCAAAGAAAAGUA